UACGUAGGGGGCAAGCGUUGUCCGGAAUCAUUGGGCGUAAAGAGCGCGUAGGCGGUCCGGUAAGUCGGUUGUGAAAACUGGGGGCUCAACCCUCAGAGGCCGACCGAUACUGUCGGGCUAGAGUCCGGAAGAGGCGAGUGGAAUUCCUGGUGUAGCGGUGAAAUGCGCAGAUAUCAGGAGGAACACCAAUGGCGAAGGCAGCUCGCUGGGACGGUACUGACGCUGAGGCGCGAAAGCUAGGGGGAGCAAACGGG
rnacentral:rRNA from 1 species